rnacentral:tRNA from 1 species
GCCGCUUUAGUUUAGUGGUAGAACAGAAGCAUGGUAAGCUUCAGAGGGCAGUUCAAUUCUGCCAAGUGGCACCA